UCUCCUCGUCAAGGUGGCGUGGCAGUGUGGAGGAAGGCACCCAAUACGUGUCGCUCCAUUGCCUGAAUAAUGUUGUCUAUAGAGGAGAAGGGGUCUAUUGGGAAGGGAUUUGGUUUGCACCGGGCUGGGGUUUGCUGCGGCGUGGCUUGUCCGUCCGAGCGGUCUCCAUCGCUGCUGGCUGGUUGCUGGUCAGAGGAAGGAGCAUUCUCCAUCUGGCCCAACUUGGUGUGCGCGGCGACGCGGCGUGGCGGCUCUGUACAAUGGGGCAGACACUUUGGGGACGGCUUAGGAAGGUUAGUGGAAGCAGUUUGGGGGCAUUGGGGAUACGGCGCGCCAUUGUCGCUGUCAUUGGAGGAGGUACACCGUUGUGAGUGGUGCUGCAGUCAGAGAGGAGCGCAUCUCCAUUCGUCACUUCCAUUGGAGGAGCCCGGCCGCCACUUGCUAUCGCCACCUGCUGCUUGUGUGCAGUGCUAACCACGACUGGUUCAUGUACCUGCCGAUGGAGCAGGCUUAGUGGUGUCACUUUGAAGCUUAGUUAUGUUGUGGCAGCCAUUUUCGGCGACAUGAUUUGGUUCAGGGCCGCGCUUCUUCGGCUUCGCUCCGUGGCUAUCUUCCCUAUCUCCUUCUGGUGGAUCUGCUCAUAUCAAUUUUGUUGAAACACUCGUGAGCAGAUGUUUAGGCCAUCAAUGUCAACCAUUAUAUCGUAGAAUUUGAAGGGUGGCGCUUGCUGCAUCAACUGACAUUGUUGACAUCAUAAAAAAAGAUGCUUGAACUAAAAGUAACUUCAACAGUUGUUGCAGUUGAAUAGGAGCAUGGGGGAAUAUGAUGUGACAUGAUGGGCGCACAAAAUCAACCAACCGGUCGAUAUCUGCUACCAUGCCCUUGCUCAGGCUAAAGCCUCAUUGGAAGGGAACACCGACUGAACAAAAUAACUAGUCGCUGACAUUGACAAUCUUAUAUGCCCUUUGCUGAUAAAGAUUCUUUGUAGAAUAUAUUUUGCCCUCAAAAAGUCAGGAUCAUUUAUGUUUGUUUGCUACCUGGUAUUCUUUGUCUUCAUUGAUGGUGGGCACCUGAAUCAGCAAAUACAUAAACUAAGCAUAUAUGCCUAUUUAUAUUGCCUUGUGAAUCUUACCAUACUAUUGAAUUAUGGUGGUGUAAUGUCCAAACAACGAACAGGUUCACAUUUAUCAGUUUUAUGAAACCAAUCCCCAUCACCCAUCCAUUGUUAAUGGCCAACGACAAAUAUUUUGUCCUGACAUGACCAUAUAUACAUAAUUUUCUAAAAAUAUUAGUCCUAUAAUAAUCAAAAGUACACACAGAUAGAAUGCACACAAGGCCAUGAAUAGAUGUUGAAAGCACAAUAUUUUAUACAUAAGGCUCUAACUAUUUAAUAUGAAAAGUAUAUGGUCUGAGUCGCAUCCUUCUAGCGAUGCAAAUUACCCAAACAAAAUUGUAUUUAAGAAGUUAUUGUUCAGUCCUAUAUUCUCACUUAAUUAAUUAAGAGUGAUAACACAGUGUAUUUUCUACAAUAGCUCUUAUCCCCUUCUCUUAUUUGUAAAACUGUAAUAAUUACAAAAGUACCCUGGCUAACCGAUCACAAUUCUACACAAAUAGGUGAAUACAUAAGAUGUUCAUAUCAGGGAAUAAACCCAAGGGAAAAGAUAGGUAAGAAUUAGGGCCCAGCAAAAGAAACAAAUCGUCUCACAUAUAAUUAGAGCCAAGCCAAAGUAACAAUAGACCCCUCAAAGAUAAAAUAUUGAACAACAGUUUAUCAGCGAUAUCAAGAAGACGGAAUCCAAGGAUGCAUCUAUGGUCUCCAUCUCACUAC